ensembl:lncRNA
AUGGCAGUUUUUGAUACCCGUCCUCCCCGUGUAGUGUGGACGCUGACGGCCAGUGAGUUGGGGCUUGUGGCAGCAAGUCCUGUCGGGGCUUCCAGGAUGAGACGGGAGGGGCUGCUUUCUAGUGGUCCCGGAGCCCUCGGCGCGGCCGCAGCCUGGAGCUGCUUUUGCCCGCACGUUCCCCAAAGCCGCCCGGGGAGUGCCUCUUGCGGAGCUGCAGUGUCUUCUUUGGGAGGUGCUUUCAUUGGGGCUGCAGUGCUUUCUGCGGGGCUGCAGUGCUUUCAUUGGGGGUGCUUUCUGCGGGGCUCCAGUGCCUUCUGCGGGGCUGCAGUGCCUUUUUGGGGAGUGCUUUCUGCGGGGCUGCAGUGCUUUCAUUGGGGGGUGCUUUCAUUGGGGCUCCAGUGCUUUCUGCGGGGCUGCAGUGCCUUUUUGGGGAGUGCUUUCUGCGGGGCUGCAGUGCUUUCAUUGGGGGGUGCUUUCUGCGGGGCUGCAGUGCUUUCAUUGGGGGUGCUUUCUGCGGUGCUCCAGUGCCUUCUGCGGGGCUGCAGUGCCUUUUUGGGGGGUGCUUUCUGCGGGGCUGCAGUGCCCUUGGUCGGAGCCCCCCGAGGACACAACCCCCUUUCCCGUCAGCCCCCCCCCCCCCGCUUGCCUUGGGGCCGCGCUGCACCCCCGGGGGCCCGAGAGCGCCCGGCGCCCCCCUGGGAGUUCUCCCCAGGCUUGGCUGCCUCGGCUCCCGUGGUCGAGGUCCGGAAAGGGUCCCUCCCAAGGGAAGCCGCUCCGUUGCCUGGAAACGGGCCGCCUUAGAGCUUGGGUCCCUUCUGCGAGGCGAGGUCUCCUGGCUAACAAGGGCCCCACCUAGGACGGAAGGCUCCGAAGGCGUUUCGCGCCGGUCCCUCCGUUUUGCCGCAGCUGCGCGGGCAGCGGGCACUUCUCCUUAGCGGUGUGAGUGAGGUCCUGCCGAGAAACGCCCCUGCCUCUAACUCCGCCCGCGGCUCCCGGGGGCUUGUGACGGACCCGGGCUGGGUCGGGAGCGGGGCCACGGGGCGUCUCCUUCCGGACGCCCGCAGCUGCCGGGGCACCUCCCCGCCCCCCGGCUCCUCCCUCACCCACUAGUGGCGGGUUAGAGCGCGAGCUCCCGCGCAGAGGCCGCCUAACGUCCGGCCUCGUGCACACAGCAGGCGCGCGCUAAGUGCUUUGUUAAAAACCCUUUUUUAGGCGGGGCCGAGCCCGGGGGCGGGCGGGGCCGAGGGGGCGGGCGGGGCUUUCUUGGCCGAGCCCGGCAUCAGACUCUUGCCGGCCGCUUGUGAUCCUGGGAAAGUCACUUCACCCGAGCCUCAGUUCGCCCUUCUAUGGAAGUGGGCUCGUCGCUUCUCCGCAGGGUGACUGUGGGGGCUGAAGCCCAGCCCGCGCCGCGUAAAUCCCUCACCGCCCCCGCGCCCCCGCCCGCCACUGGGCCCGCCAACGGGGCCGACUUCGCCAGCACCUCGCCCGAACCCCACCGGCCCGGUCCGGGUCGGGACGUCGCGGGGCUCGGCUCCGCCGGCUGGGGCAGCGGC